rnacentral:rRNA from 1 species
UACGGAGGGGGGCUAGCGUUGUUCGGAAUUACUGGGCGUAAAGCGCGCGUAGGCGGACCUGCAAGUCGGGGGGUGAAAGCCCGAGGCUCAACCUCGGAACUGCCUUCGAUACUGCGGGUCUCGAGUCCGGGAGAGGUGAGUGGAAUUCCUAGUGUAGAGGUGAAAUUCGUAGAUAUUAGGAAGAACACCAGUGGCGAAGGCGGCUCACUGGCCCGGUACUGACGCUGAGGCGCGAAAGCGUGGGGGAGCAAACAGG